rnacentral:rRNA from 1 species
UACGUAGGUGGCGAGCGUUGUCCGGAUUUACUGGGCGUAAAGAGCGCGCAGGCGGUCGUUCAAGUCGCGUGUGAAAGCCCCCGGCUCAACUGGGGAGGGUCACGCGAUACUGAGUCGACUCGAAGGCAGGAGAGGGAAGUGGAAUUCCCGGUGUAGUGGUGAAAUGCGUAGAUAUCGGGAGGAACACCAGUGGCGAAGGC